GUGUUGUGAGCUCGAUGAGUAGGGCGGGACACGUGGUAUCCUGUCUGAAUAUGGGGGGACCAUCCUCCAAGGCUAAAUACUCCUGACUGACCGAUAGUGAACCAGUACCGUGAGGGAAAGGCGAAAAGAACCCCGGCGAGGGGAGUGAAAAAGAACCUGAAACCGUGUACGUACAAGCAGUGGGAGCACAGGUUUACCUGUGUGACUGCGUACCUUUUGUAUAAUGGGUCAGCGACUUAUAUUCUGUAGCAAGGUUAACCGUAUAGGGGAGCCGGAGGGAAACCGAGUCUUAAUUGGGCGUUAAGUUGCAGGGUAUAGACCCGAAACCCGGUGAUCUAGCCAUGGGCAGGUUGAAGGUUGGGUAACACUAACUGGAGGACCGAACCGACUAAUGUUGAAAAAUUAGCGGAUGACCUGUGGCUGGGGGUGAAAGGCCAAUCAAACCGGGAGAUAGCUGGUUCUCCCCGAAAGCUAUUUAGGUAGCGCCUCGUGAAUUCAUCUCCGGGGGUAGAGCACUGUUUCGGCUAGGGGGCCAUCCCGGCUUACCAACCCGAUGCAAACUGCGAAUACCGGAGAAUGUUAUCACGGGAGACACACGGCGGGUGCUAACGUCCGUCGUGAAGAGGGAAACAACCCAGACCGCCAGCUAAGGUCCCAAAGUCAUGGUUAAGUGGGAAACGAUGUGGGAAGGCCCAGACAGCCAGGAUGUUGGCUUAGAAGCAGCCAUCAUUUAAAGAAAGCGUAAUAGCUCACUGGUCGAGUCGGCCUGCGCGGAAGAUGUAACGGGGCUAAACCAU
rnacentral:rRNA from 1 species